UACGUAGGGGGCAAGCGUUGUCCGGAAUUACUGGGCGUAAAGCGCACGCAGGCGGAAUUGUAAGUCCGUUGUAAAAUUCAGAGGCUCAACCUCUGUCUGUCGGCGGAUACUGCAAAUCUAGAGUAUGUGAGAGGGAAGUGGAAUUCCUGGUGUAGCGGUGAAAUGCGUAGAUAUCAGGAGGAACUCCGGUGGCGAAGGCGACUUCCUUGCACAAGACUGACGCUCAUGUGCGAAAGCUAGGGUAGCGAACGGGAUUAGAUACCCCU
rnacentral:rRNA from 1 species